AGUGAACGCUGGCGGCGUGCCUAAUACAUGCAAGUCGAACGGAGUGACGCACGGGUGGGUAAUGAAUAGCUAAGCAGCCCUACACUGGAGGACAACAGUUGGAAACGGCUGCUAAUACUCCAUAGUGUAGGAUGAGGCUUAAUUGUAUGAGCUAGUUGGUAAGGUAAUGGCUCACAAAGGCUAUGACGCAUAACUGGUCUGAGAGGAGGAUCAGUCACACUUGAAGUGGGACACGGGGCGGAUUCUUACGCGAUGCAGCAGUAGUGAAUAUUGCUCAACGGGGGAAACCAUGAAGCAGUCCCGGCGGGAGGAGGAGGACACUUUGCGGAGCGUAAAUUCCGUUUGUUAGGGAAGCGGUACCUAACGAAUAAGCACCGGCUAACCCGGUGCAAGCGCCGCGGUAAUAC
rnacentral:rRNA from 1 species